rnacentral:tRNA from 1 species
GGGGAUGUAGCUUAGCGGCUAAAGCGCUUGUCUGUCGAACAAGAGAUCGCGGGUUCGAAUCCCGUCUUCCUCGCCU